GCUAUGGUAAUAAAUGGACAAUGAAAUAAGCCUAAUGGACCCGAGGGCAGUACUCGGCGCCUCCACCAAAGUAUAGUUUUCUCUAGGUGUAUUUUGGUGGGGGCGAACUAGGAUCGACAGAGGUGUAAAGGUUGCUCUUUUACUCGGCAUUGUACCACCGUCAUCGGGCUAAAUCAGUAGUUGCAAACGACAACUAUGCGGAAGCACGUCUCGCCGCGUAAUGUGGUGCGAAGGCUUCAAAUUAAGCCUUAAACCAUCGCAGGUUUAAGCGGGGUCUGGGAGGCACCUGGCAACAGAAGC
rnacentral:tmRNA from 1 species